UUCGAAAACGAACGAGACCAUAACCUGCAAACUAGAUUCGAUCAUCUUAUGGUCGUUGGGGUUGUGGGGGGGGCUAUGUAACAUAAAUACAUGGAAGUUUGAGGCAAUAACAGGUCAGUGAUGCCCUUAUAUGUCCUGGGCUGCACGCGUGCUACACUGAAGCAUACAACAAGUGCCUAGCUAGACAUAGUAUGGCAAUCUGGAAUAUGCAUCGUGAUGGGGAUAGAUCUUUGCAAUUAUAGAUCUUGAACGAUGAUUUCUUAUUAAGUUCAAGUCAUCAAGUGCAUUGAUUAUGUCCCUGCCCUUUGUACACACCGCCCGUCGCUCCUACCGAUACCGGGUUAUCCGGCACCCUUUCCUAAAAAAUAUACCCUCACAGCGAAGGGAGUUCAAGUAAGCUUUGA
rnacentral:rRNA from 1 species